rnacentral:rRNA from 1 species
AUGGGCCGCGGGAGGACGGAGAUGAAGAGGAUCCACAACGACGUGUCGCGCCGGGCCACCUUCGGCAAGCGCCGCCGCGGCCUGCUCAAGAAGGCGCGCGAGCUCGCCGUGCUCUGCGGCGUGGACCACGGCCUCCUCGUCUUCGACGACGGCGGCGCCGGCAAGCUGUUCGACUAG